CCCAAUUUCUCAGUCUCUCUCCUCCCUUCGUUUCCCAACCCUAGCCGCAACACUGCCUUUCUUCGUGGGAUUGUUUAUCACAGAGCUUAGAGCAAUGGCUCCUGCUAAAGGUGUGAUUGUUUAUCACAGAGCUUAGAGCAAUGACUCCUGCUAAAGCAUGGCUCUGGUGGCUAUGAGAGAGAAUAUUCAGAUUAGAGAAAAGGGGCGUGAUAAGGAUAUGGACGGGGACAUAGAUAGGACAAAGAUAGGGAAAGGGACAGAGACAGGAAUAGGGAAUAGGGAAAAGGGACCGAGAUAGAGAAAGAGAAAGGUCUCGAGACAGGGAUCAUGAUCGUCGUCAUAGGGACCGCCACAGGGAUCGUGAGAGAAGCGAGCAGAGGAGAGAUAAGGACGACGUCGAUGAUGAUCACUACCGUGUUCGGGACUCUGAUAGGUGGAGGGAUUAUGACAGAGACGGGGAGGAUAGGCAAAAUAGGUUACAAGUCUCAGUUUCGUUUGAGGGGUAGAUCUGAGCACAAAUCCAGAUUGAGUUCACAUUCUCGUUCACGAUAAAAAAGGUAGUUAUUUGAGAGAUUAGUUUGUGAAUGUGGAGUUUGAAUCACUUUCUUAAGGACUCCUAUCUCCUGUAGCAAAUCCUAAAUUUGGAUUAAAUGUCUAUUACCUGUAGUGGCUUAAAUUUGUAGGUCAUGAUCAAUUUGGGGUUUAGGGUUUAGGAUCUUGUUUUAGUUUCAAUCUGAGCAUAACAAAUCAAAAAUAUACACUGAA